UGAGGAAGUGGUGUGUAGUGAGUGCUUGAUGAAUGCUUACAGUAUGUUUUUACCACGUUGUAUUAGUAUUGUGAGGUUUAAAGUUUGACUGACUUUGCGUUCUAUGAAGUGUUUAUGUAUUCUUUUGAUUACAACAAGUGCAUUCAGUCUCCUAAAACAAUUGGUUGCUGGACAAUGACUUGACCUCCAGUCACUUCCCCUACAGGGUCUACACAUGACUUUGGCCUGAUGUUUUGAGUUCACUGCUGUGUCUGAUGACCAAUGACUCGGAUAAUCCACAUAAAGGUGAGCAAUCUGCAUCAGUGGUCUCACUGGUGCUGAUUGGGGGAUCGUGCUAACCUUGAGGGGUUCUAAAAGAGCACUUGCAACAUUAAUGGCUGCUCCCCUUCAACCAGGGGUGCAGGCUCAAUGUCCAAAUGUGGAAGAUGGUGGUAGAUGCCUCACUGGAUCCACGAUAAUGUGGUGUUUUGUGGAGGGCUUGGUGAAGAAUCUCUUGGAAUAAGGACUGCACUGCACAUCUCUGGUCAGAGCCACAGGACGCUCAUUGCAUUAUGGUGCCUUUCAAUACAGCCAACAUGCUUUAGUGCUAACCAUCACCAGUGUACAGCAACCACCUGGUUGGCUGAGCCAUUUUGCACCAGAAUACUCACCAAUGGCUUGAGGUGGAGAGUUGAGGGAAUGAAAUCAUUCAAUAGAGCCACCACCGUGCCUCUGUCCUUGCACCAUUUGUCUUCAGAGUGUAGAAGACCCAGUUAAGUUGGCCCCAAUGGCGAGCUUUGAGACUUCAACCUAGGUGUCAACUGAGUCCUUGUUCAACUGUCUUGACCUUGUAGCUUGAUUUGUGCAGGUUUGUAUGACUUAAAUUCCCUCUUAGUUUAAUUUGGUAACUUGUGAGACUGAGCCCAGAGCUGGGUAAGCAGUUACCAGUCACUUUAGUUUGUAUGCCAACCUGACACCCCGUUCCUUUUUUUUUAAGGUUAGCCAUACUUCUGUGCGUUUGCAGCUGUAAGUAUUGCGUUAUUAAUGACUUCAUUGCCAAGUGUGCAUCCGAAUUUCAAACCUGUUAUAUAAAUAAACGC